AGUCCUUUUUCAUCUUCUCGCUGCGCAGGUAAAUACUUUUUGAGUAGAAGCCAAGCUAGCUUAUUGAAAAUUAAGAUCCUAGCUUAUCGCUACCUGUAGCCUUGUGAUCGUCUCGAUCGGAGCUGCGGGCUAGGAAAACGCUCGCCCUCCAAAGGCUGCGACGAGCUAGCUGUCCGCCCUCCCAAGGGAGGGGACUGCGGUGUUCACCGCUCGGACCCUAGGAGCUCCGGACCGGUAAAGAGCGGACGCUCCUGCACGUCAGCCGUUGUCGGCACGAGAGCCCCGUGAUGAAAUGCCUCCUCCAGUCGGCGUCUGUCAUCGUGAGAGGCUGAACCGACUCGUCUGUCAGCGCAGAUGAAAGGGCGUUUAUCGGACUGAAUAUUUUGCCAGUAGUGCUGUGGAACAUCCAGGUGCUCUUUUGCAAACUUCAAACGUGC